rfam:Cavia porcellus supercont2_33 genomic scaffold, whole genome shotgun sequence.
GUCUACAGCCAUACCACCCUGAACAUGCCCAAUCUCGUCUGAUCUCGGAACCUAAGUAGGGUCAGGCCUGGUUAGUACUUGGAUGGGAGAAAUGUACAAAGGGCUUUGAGAUUCAGAUGCACC